CCUCCGGGUGGCAGCAGUGAGGAAUAUUGGUCAAUGGGCGGGAGCCUGAACCAGCCAAGUCGCGUGAGGGACGACGGUCCUAUGGAUUGUAAACCUCUUUUGUCGGGGAACAAAGGCGCCCACGGGUGGGCGGAUGAGUGUACCCGAAGAAAAAGCAUCGGCUAACUCCGUGCCAGCAGCCGCGGUAAUACGGAGGAUGCGAGCGUUAUCCGGAUUUAUUGGGUUUAAAGGGAGCGUAGAUGGGUUGUUAAGUCAGUUGUGAAAGUUUGCGGCUCAACCGUAAAAUUGCAAUUGAUACUGGCAGUCUUGAGUACAGUUGAGGUAGGCGGAAUUCGUGGUGUAGCGGUGAAAUGCUUAGAUAUCACGAAGAACUCCGAUUGCGAAGGCAGCCUACCGGCGCGCAACUGACGCUCAUGCACGAAAGCGUGGGUAUCGAACAGGAUUAGAUACCCUUGUAGUC
rnacentral:rRNA from 1 species